rnacentral:rRNA from 1 species
GGUUAAGUGACUAAGCGUACACGGUGGAUGCCUUGGCAGUCAGAGGCGAUGAAAGACGUAGUAACUUGCGAUAAGCCCAGAUUAGGUAGUAACAACCAUUUGAGUCUGGGAUUUCUGAAUGGGGAAACCCACGUGCAUAAGCACGUAUCCUUACCUGAAUACAUAGGGUAAGGAGGCGAACCGGGGGAACUGAAACAUCUAAGUACCCCGAGGAAAAGAAAUCAACCGAGAUUCCGAAAGUAGCGGCGAGCGAAAUUGGACUAGCCCUUAAGCUUUACACGCGUUAGACGAACGGUCUGGAAAGUCCGACGAUACAGGGUGAUAGUCCCGUAGUUGACGACGUGUGUUCAGUGAAAUCGAGUAGGGCGGGACACGUGAUAUCCUGUCUGAAUAUGGGGGGACCAUCCUCCAAGGCUAAAUACUACUGACUGACCGAUAGUGAACCAGUACCGUGAGGGAAAGGCGAAAAGAACCCCUGUGAGGGGAGUGAAAUAGAACCUGAAACCGUGUACGUACAAGCAGUAGGAGCAGGCUUUGUCCUGUGACUGCGUACCUUUUGUAUAAUGGGUCAGCGACUUAUAUUCAGUGGCAAGGUUAACCAUCUAGGGGAGCCGUAGGGAAACCGAGUCUUAACUGGGCGUUCAGUCUCUGGAUAUAGACCCGAAACCAGGUGAUCUAGCCAUGGGCAGGUUGAAGGUUGAGUAACAUCAACUGGAGGACCGAACCGACUAAUGUUGAAAAAUUAGCGGAUGACUUGUGGCUAGGGGUGAAAGGCCAAUCAAACCUGGAGAUAGCUGGUUCUCCCCGAAAGCUAUUUAGGUAGCGCCUCGGACGAAUACUACUGGGGGUAGAGCACUGUUAAGGCUAGGGGGUCAUCCCGACUUACCAACCCUUUGCAAACUCCGAAUACCAGUAAGUACUAUCCGGGAGACACACGGCGGGUGCUAACGUCCGUCGUGGAGAGGGAAACAACCCAGACCGCCAGCUAAGGUCCCAAAUUACUACUAAGUGGGAAACGAUGUGGGAAGGCUCAGACAGCCAGGAUGUUGGCUUAGAAGCAGCCAUCAUUUAAAGAAAGCGUAAUAGCUCACUGGUCGAGUCGGCCUGCGCGGAAGAUGUAACGGGGCUAAGUAGUAAACCGAAGCUGCGGCAAUAUACUUUUGUAUAUUGGGUAGGGGAGCGUUCUGUAAGCGGUUGAAGGUGUGUGGUAACGCAUGCUGGACGUAUCAGAAGUGCGAAUGCUGACAUGAGUAACGAUAAAGGGGGUGAAAAACCUCCUCGCCGGAAGACCAAGGGUUCCUGUCCAACGUUAAUCGGGGCAGGGUAAGUCGACCCCUAAGGCGAGGCCGAAAGGCGUAGUCGAUGGGAAACGGGUUAAUAUUCCCGUACUUCUUACAAUUGCGAUGGGGGGACGGAGAAGGCUAGGUGGGCCUGGCGACGGUUGUCCAGGUUCAAGUGCGUAGGCUUAAGAGUUAGGUAAAUCCGGCUCUUUUUAAGGCUGAGACACGACGUCGAGCUACUACGGUAGUGAAGUCAUUGAUGCCAUGCUUCCAGGAAAAGCCUCUAAGCUUCAGAUUGUAAGGAAUCGUACCCCAAACCGACACAGGUGGUCGGGUAGAGAAUACCAAGGCGCUUGAGAGAACUCGGGUGAAGGAACUAGGCAAAAUGGUACCGUAACUUCGGGAGAAGGUACGCUCUUGAUGGUGAAGUCCCUUGCGGAUGGAGCUGACGAGAGUCGCAGAUACCAGGUGGCUGCAACUGUUUAUUAAAAACACAGCACUGUGCAAAAUCGUAAGAUGACGUAUACGGUGUGACGCCUGCCCGGUGCCGGAAGGUUAAUUGAUGGGGUUAGACUUCGGUCGAAGCUCUUGAUCGAAGCCCCGGUAAACGGCGGCCGUAACUAUAACGGUCCUAAGGUAGCGAAAUUCCUUGUCGGGUAAGUUCCGACCUGCACGAAUGGCGUAAUGAUGGCCACGCUGUCUCCACCCGAGACUCAGUGAAAUUGAAAUCGCUGUGAAGAUGCAGUGUACCCGCGGCUAGACGGAAAGACCCCGUGAACCUUUACUACAGCUUGGCACUGAACAUUGACCCUACAUGUGUAGGAUAGGUGGGAGGCUUUGAAGCACGUACGCCAGUAUGUGUGGAGCCGUCCUUGAAAUACCACCCUUGUAGUGUUGAUGUUCUAACGUCGACCCCUUAUCGGGGUUGCGGACAGUGCCUGGUGGGUAGUUUGACUGGGGCGGUCUCCUCCCAAAGAGUAACGGAGGAGCACGAAGGUGGGCUAAUCACGGUUGGACAUCGUGAGGUUAGUGCAAUGGCAUAAGCCCGCUUGACUGCGAGAAUGACAAUUCGAGCAGGUGCGAAAGCAGGUCAUAGUGAUCCGGUGGUUCUGAAUGGAAGGGCCAUCGCUCAACGGAUAAAAGGUACUCCGGGGAUAACAGGCUGAUACCGCCCAAGAGUUCAUAUCGACGGCGGUGUUUGGCACCUCGAUGUCGGCUCAUCACAUCCUGGGGCUGAAGUCGGUCCCAAGGGUAUGGCUGUUCGCCAUUUAAAGUGGUACGCGAGCUGGGUUUAGAACGUCGUGAGACAGUUCGGUCCCUAUCUGCCGUGGGCGUUGGAAGAUUGAAGGGGGCUGCUCCUAGUACGAGAGGACCGGAGUGGACGAACCUCUGGUGUUCGGGUUGUGUCGCCAGACGCAUUGCCCGGUAGCUAAGUUCGGAAUCGAUAACCGCUGAAAGCAUCUAAGCGGGAAGCGAGCCCUGAGAUGAGUCUUCCCUGAUACUUUAAGUAUCCUAAAGGGUUGUCGGAGACUACGACGUUGAUAGGUCAGGUGUGUAAGUGCUGUGAGGCAUUGAGCUAACUGAUACUAAUUGCCCGUGAGGCUUAACCAU